AUGAGAGUUCCUGACCACAACCUUGCUUUCAUCCAAACACAAAAGCAAAAGCUUCACAGCCUUGCGAUUGUGAUAAAACCACACUGUUCUCGCUCGGCUCAGGCCUCACGCGCGAACAUGAGGGUCUUCGGGCUCCUCGCUUUCGCCGGCUGCGCGGCGCUGCUCGCGGGUGCCGGCGUGCCGUCGAUCAUCACCCAGGAGAAGUUCGACGCCAUGCUGAGCAACCGCAGCAAAGGCAGCUGCGAGGGUGGCGCGUUCUACACCUACGACGCGUUCGUCAAGGCCGUGAGCCUUCGGCACCACCGGGGACGACAAGACCCGCAGACGGGAGCUCGCCGCCUUCUUCGGGCAGACCUCCCACGAAACCGUUGCGACUUCAACUACCGACAAGCCGGGGAGGCGUUGGGGCUGGACCUCCUAGACAACCCGGACCUGAUGUCCACGAACCCCGUCGUGGCGUUCAAGACGGCAAUCUGGUGGUGGAUGACGCCUCAGGCGCCCAAACCAUCGUGUCACGCCGUGAUGACCAAUGGUUGGACGCCUUCUGCCCAAGAUGUCGACGCGGGGAUGCUCCCGGGCUACGGCAUGACCACCAACAUCUUCAACGGCUCGGCGGAGUGCGGCAAGGGCUACGCGACCCCGCCGGCCAAGGACCGGGCCCGCUACUACAAGAUGUACUGCGACAUGCUCAAAGUUGAGUACGGUGAAAACUACGGGUGCGGGCACCAAAACUUAACAAAGACGUUGUUGCCUCACGGAGAAUCUUCGCCUCCUCGGAACAGAACCGGGCUUCUGGUCGGCAUCUCUGUAGGUUUUUGCUCGUUUUCGUCACUUUGA
rnacentral:rRNA from 1 species